GCGGAUAUGGCGGAAUUGGCAGACGCGCUGGAUUUAGGAUCCAGUGGUGAGCAGCCGUAUGGGUUCAAGUCCCUUUAUCCGCACCA
rnacentral:tRNA from 1 species